GCCUCUACCUAGGCUCGGGCUGGACCCUGAUGCGGUUCGAGUGCCCCAAGCACGCCCACUCGGCUGCUAUGGAUCACUCGUUCCCGCUCGUGCAUUCGGAUGCCGAAAGCUAAGCGAUGCCGGGGCGCGCACAGCAGCCACCGCAUGACCCUAAACAACGAGCGAAACUUCGCUCCCCGAGAAUGACCACCGCGCGCGCUCGCUCUUCCAUCCAACCGUUCGCUCGGCGAUGGGAGCUAGCACGCCGCGGUGCCUUCAAGGGCCGCUACCUGGUUGAUCCUGCCAGUAGUCAUAUGCUUGUCUCAAA
rnacentral:misc_RNA from 1 species